GACGAACCGUGCGAACGUUAUUCGGAAUCACUGGGCUUAAAGGGCGCGUAGGCGGGUCGGUAAGUCAGGGGUGAAAUCCCACGGCCCAACCGUGGAAGUGCCUCUGAUACUGCCGGCCUCGAGGGGGAUAGGGGCGUGCGGAACUUCCGGUGGAGCGGUGAAAUGCGUAGAUAUCGGAAGGAACACCGGUGGCGAAAGCGGCGCGCUGGAUCUCUUCUGACGCUGAGGCGCGAAAGCCAGGGGAGCAAACGGG
rnacentral:rRNA from 1 species